UGGGGAAUUUUGGACAAUGGGGGCAACCCUGAUCCAGCCAUGCCGCGUGCGGGAAGAAGGCCUUCGGGUUGUAAACCGCUUUUAGCCGGGACGAAAGCGCUACGGAUAACACCCGUGGUGGUUGACGGUACCGGCGGAAUAAGCACCGGCUAACUACGUGCCAGCAGCCGCGGUAAUUCGUAGGGUGCGAGCGUUAAUCGGAAUUACUGGGCGUAAAGCGUGCGCAGGCGGUUCGUUGUGUCGGCGGUGAAAGCCCCGGGCUCAACCUGGGAAUGGCCGUUGAAACUGGCGAACUGGAGUGUGGCAGAGGGGGGUGGAAUUCCGCGUGUAGCAGUGAAAUGCGUAGAGAUGCGGAGGAACACCGAUGGCGAAGGCAGCCCCCUGGGCUGACACUGACGCUCAGGCACGAAAGCGUGGGGAGCAAACAGG
rnacentral:rRNA from 1 species